UUACAGGCCAUGAGCAUCAGGUCGUCAUCGGAGCACGCCGACAGUCCUCUGAGGUCGCCGAGGGCUGGAGCUGGUUUGGGAGUGUUUUGGUGCGCUGGGAUCAUAAAGCCAACAGGCGGCCGGUCCACAGUCAGCAACGCUGUUUGUAGGUGUCGGGGUCCAGUUCUUGGGAGACGUCCUUCAUCCAGAGCAGAGCUCCUCUGUACUCGGUGCGGGCCUUCUCCAUACGGGUGACUGUCAGCAGCGUGUCAGCGAUGGCGCGCCGCCUGAACGUCUCCACUUCCUGGUGCAAGCGGUGCAGUGGCGGGCACAGAGCCAUCCUGAGGGACAAGACGAAGAUACACUGCUUCAACAUUUCUCAAAAUCAACUUGGCGUCCAGGUCGGCGUCUGAGGCCACCACGUACUCGUCCUCCUUCUUGCCCGUGGCUUUGAUGAGGACCUGCUUGGUCUUCCAGAACUUCUUCUGCAUGCGAGCCAUCACCGAGCUGUCCUCGCCGAGCAGAGCCCGGCCGCCGCUCAGCAUGUCCCCCGCAAACCUGCAGACCAAAGCCCGACCGAGCAUCAAUGCGGCUCAGCUCAGCUAGCCUCCUCUCCCGAAGACCGUCAUAAUCUGAGUCACUCAAACAGGAUAUGCAAAGUAGCCGUUGCGCCGUUUGGUCGCGAGGGGUCGCUGCUGUUCCGG